rnacentral:rRNA from 1 species
GACAGAGGUGCCGAGCGUUAGGCGGAAUCACUGGGCUUAAAGCGUGUGUAGGCGGAUCCGUAAGUACCUUGUGAAAUCCCACGGCUCAGCCGUGGAACUGCUUGGUAUACUGCGGGUCUUGAGCCACCUAGGGGCGAGCGGAACAAGUGGUGGAGCGGUGAAAUGCGUAGAGUAUCACUUGGAACGCCAAUGGUGAAAACAGCUCGCUGGGGGUGUGCUGACGCUGAGACACGAAAGCCAGGGAGCAAACGGG